GAGGGUAUAGCUCAGUGGUAGAGUGCAUACAAAGUCCUGGGUUCAAUCCCCAGUACCUCCU
rnacentral:tRNA from 1 species